ACAACGGAGAGUUUGAUCCUGGCUCAGGAUGAACGCUGGCGGCGUGCUUAACACAUGCAAGUCGAACGAACCUUCGGGUUAGUGGCGGACGGGUGAGUAACGCGUGGGAAUCUGCCCUCAGGAGGGGGAUAACGGCUGGAAACGGCCGCUAAUACCCCAUAUGCCGAGAGGUGAAAUGAAUUUCGCCUGAGGAUGAGCCCGCGUCUGAUUAGCUAGUUGGUGAGGUAAGAGCUCACCAAGGCAUCGAUCAGUAGCUGGUCUGAGAGGAUGAUCAGCCACACUGGGACUGAGACACGGCCCAGACUCCUACGGGAGGCAGCAGUGGGGAAUUUUCCGCAAUGGGCGAAAGCCUGACGGAGCAACGCCGCGUGAGGGAUGAAGGCCUCUGGGCUGUAAACCUCUUUUCUCAAGGAAGAAGAUCUGACGGUACUUGAGGAAUAAGCCACGGCUAAUUCCGUGCCAGCAGCCGCGGUAAUACGGGAGUGGCAAGCGUUAUCCGGAAUUAUUGGGCGUAAAGCGUCCGCAGGCGGCCUUUCAAGUCUGCUGUUAAAACGUGGAGCUUAACUCCAUCAUGGCAGUGGAAACUGUUGGGCUUGAGUGUGGUAGGGGCAGAGGGAAUUCCCGGUGUAGCGGUGAAAUGCGUAGAUAUCGGGAAGAACACCAGUGGCGAAGGCGCUCUGCUGGGCCAUAACUGACGCUCAUGGACGAAAGCCAGGGGAGCGAAAGGGAUUAGAUACCCCUGUAGUCCUGGCCGUAAACGAUGAACACUAGGUGUCGGGGGAAUCGACCCCCUCGGUGUCGUAGCCAACGCGUUAAGUGUUCCGCCUGGGGAGUACGCACGCAAGUGUGAAACUCAAAGGAAUUGACGGGGGCCCGCACAAGCGGUGGAGUAUGUGGUUUAAUUCGAUGCAACGCGAAGAACCUUACCAGGGUUUGACAUCCUGCGAAUCUCUUGGAAACGAGAGAGUGCCCUCGGGAACGCAGUGACAGGUGGUGCAUGGCUGUCGUCAGCUCGUGUCGUGAGAUGUUGGGUUAAGUCCCGCAACGAGCGCAACCCACGUCUUUAGUUGCCAGCAUUUAGUUGGGCACUCUAGAGAGACCGCCGGUGAUAAACCGGAGGAAGGUGUGGAUGACGUCAAGUCAUCAUGCCCCUUACAUCCUGGGCUACACACGUACUACAAUGCUACGGACAAAGAGCAGCAAGUUCGCGAGGACAAGCAAAUCUCAUAAACCGUGGCUCAGUUCAGAUCGUAGGCUGCAACUCGCCUACGUGAAGGAGGAAUCGCUAGUAAUCGCAGGUCAGCAUACUGCGGUGAAUACGUUCCCGGGCCUUGUACACACCGCCCGUCACACCAUGGAAGUUGGCCACGCCCGAAGCCGUUACUCCAACCCUUGUGGAGGAGGACGUCGAAGGUGGGGCUGAUGACUGGGGUGAAGUCGUAACAAGGUAGCCGUACCGGAAGGUGCGGCUGGAUCACCUCCUAA
rnacentral:rRNA from 2 species